rnacentral:tRNA from 1 species
GCGCCCGUAGCUCAAUCGGAUAGAGCGUUUGGCUUCGGACCAAAAGGUUAAAGGUUCGAGUCCUUUCGGGCGCG